GAUGAACGCUGGCGGCGUGCUUAACACAUGCAAGUCGAACGAUGAAGCCCAGCUUGCUGGGUGGAUUAGUGGCGAACGGGUGAGUAACACGUGAGUAACCUGCCCUUGACUCUGGGAUAAGCGCUGGAAACGGCGUCUAAUACCGGAUACGAGCUUCCACCGCAUGGUGAGUUGCUGGAAAGAAUUUCGGUCAAGGAUGGACUCGCGGCCUAUCAGGUAGUUGGUGAGGUAACGGCUCACCAAGCCGACGACGGGUAGCCGGCCUGAGAGGGUGACCGGCCACACUGGGACUGAGACACGGCCCAGACUCCUACGGGAGGCAGCAGUGGGGAAUACUGCACAAUGGGCGCAAGCCUGAUGCAGCAACGCCGCGUGAGGGACGAAGGCCUUCGGGUCGUAAACCUCUUUUAGCAGGGAAGAAGCGAAAGUGACGGUACCUGCAGAAAAAGCACCGGCUAACUACGUG
rnacentral:rRNA from 1 species